UACAGAGGUCUCAAGCGUUGUUCGGAUUCAUUGGGCGUAAAGGGUGCGUAGGUGGCGCCGUAAGUCAGGUGUGAAAUUUCGGAGCUUAACUCCGAAACUGCAUUUGAUACUGCGGUGCUUGAGGACUGGAGAGGAGACUGGAAUUUACGGUGUAGCAGUGAAAUGCGUAGAGAUCGUAAGGAAGACCAGUGGCGAAGGCGGGUCUCUGGACAGUUCCUGACACUGAGGCACGAAGGCCAGGGGAGGCAAACGGG
rnacentral:rRNA from 1 species